rnacentral:rRNA from 1 species
UACGUAGGGGGCAAGCGUUGUCCGGAUUUACUGGGCGUAAAGAGCGUGUAGGCGGCCAAGCAGGUCCGUUGUGAAAACUGGAGGCUUAACCUCCAGACGUCGACGGAAACCGCGUGGCUAGAGUCCGGAAGAGGAGAGUGGAAUUCCAGGUGUAGCGGUGAAAUGCGUAGAUAUCUGGAGGAACACCGGUGGCGAAGGCGGCAUCCUGGACCGGUAUUGACGCUGAUGCGCGAAAGCCAGGGGAGCAAACGGG